rnacentral:rRNA from 1 species
UUCGCAAUGCCCGAAAGGGUGACGAAGCGACGCCGCGUGUGGGAAGAAGGCCUUCGGGUUGUAAACCACUGUCGGGAGUUAAGAAAUGCAAGAAUGUUAAUAGCGUUUUUGCUUGACUAAGGCUCCGGAGGAAGCCACGGCUAACUCUGUGCCAGCAGCCGCGGUAAUACAGAGGCGGCAAGCGUUGUUCGGAAUUAUUGGGCGUAAAGAGCACGUAGGCGGCUAUAUAAGUCGGUUGUGAAAGCCUUCCGCUCAACGGGAGAACAGCAUCCGAUACUGUGUGGCUUGAGUGUGGGAGGGGAGAGCGGAACUUCUGGUGGAGCGGUGAAAUGCGUAGAUAUCAGAAGGAACGCCGGCGGCGAAAGCGGCUCUCUGGCCCAUAACUGACGCUGAGUGUGCGAAAGCUAGGGGAGCAAACGGGAUUAGAUACCCCGGUAGUCCUAGCCGUAAACGAUGGGCACUAAGUAGAGGGG